rnacentral:rRNA from 1 species
CCUACGGGAGGCUGCAGUGGGGAAUAUUGGACAAUGGGGGCAACCCUGAUCCAGCCAUGCCGCGUGUGUGAAGAAGGCCCUCGGGUUCUAAAGCACUUUCAGUGAGGAAGAACGCCUGGUGGUUAAUACCCAUCAGGAAAGACAUCACUCACAGAAGAAGCACCGGCUAACUCCGUGCCAGCAGCCGCGGUAAUACGGAGGGUGCGAGCGUUAAUCGGAAUUACUGGGCGUAAAGCGCGCGUAGGUGGCUUGAUAAGCCGGUUGUGAAAGCCCCGGGCUCAACCUGGGAACGGCAUCCGGAACUGUCAAGCUAGAGUGCAGGAGAGGAAGGUAGAAUUCCCGGUGUAGCGGUGAAAUGCGUAGAGAUCGGGAGGAAUACCAGUGGCGAAGGCGGCCUUCUGGACUGACACUGACACUGAGGUGCGAAAGCGUGGGUAGCAAACAGGAUUAGAUACCCCAGUAGUC